rnacentral:rRNA from 1 species
CCUACGGGGGGCAGCAGUGAGGAAUAUUGGUCAAUGGACGAGAGUCUGAACCAGCCAAGUAGCGUGAAGGAUGACUGCCCUAUGGGUUGUAAACUUCUUUUAUAUGGGAAUAAAACGUUCCACGUGUGGGAUUUUGUAUGUACCAUAUGAAUAAGGAUCGGCUAACUCCGUGCCAGCAGCCGCGGUAAUACGGAGGAUCCGAGCGUUAUCCGGAUUUAUUGGGUUUAAAGGGAGCGUAGGUGGAUUGUUAAGUCAGUUGUGAAAGUUUGCGGCUCAACCGGAAAAUUGCAGUUGAAACUGGCAGUCUUGAGUACAGUAGAGGUGGGCGGAAUUCGUGGUGUAGCGGUGAAAUGCUUAGAUAUCACGAAGAACUCCGAUUGCGAAGGCAGUUCACUGGACUGCAACUGACACUGAGGCUCGAAAGUGUGGGUAUCAAACAGGAUUAGAUACCCCAGUAGUC